rnacentral:rRNA from 2 species
UCGAACGCGUUGGCCCAAUUGAUUGAUGGUGCUUGCACCUGAUUGAUUUUGGUCGCCAACGAGUGGCGGACGGGUGAGUAACACGUAGGUAACCUGCCCAGAAGCGGGGGACAACAUUUGGAAACAGAUGCUAAUACCGCAUAACAGCGUUGUUCGCAUGAACAACGCUUAAAAGAUGGCUUCUCGCUAUCACUUCUGGAUGGACCUGCGGUGCAUUAGCUUGUUGGUGGGGUAACGGCCUACCAAGGCGAUGAUGCAUAGCCGAGUUGAGAGACUGAUCGGCCACAAUGGGACUGAGACACGGCCCAUACUCCUACGGGAGGCAGCAGUAGGGAAUCUUCCACAAUGGGCGCAAGCCUGAUGGAGCAACACCGCGUGAGUGAAGAAGGGUUUCGGCUCGUAAAGCUCUGUUGUUAAAGAAGAACACGUAUGAGAGUAACUGUUCAUACGUUGACGGUAUUUAACCAGAAAGUCACGGCUAACUACGUGCCAGCAGCCGCGGUAAUACGUAGGUGGCAAGCGUUAUCCGGAUUUAUUGGGCGUAAAGAGAGUGCAGGCGGUUUUCUAAGUCUGAUGUGAAAGCCUUCGGCUUAACCGGAGAAGUGCAUCGGAAACUGGAUAACUUGAGUGCAGAAGAGGGUAGUGGAACUCCAUGUGUAGCGGUGGAAUGCGUAGAUAUAUGGAAGAACACCAGUGGCGAAGGCGGCUACCUGGUCUGCAACUGACGCUGAGACUCGAAAGCAUGGGUAGCGAACAGGAUUAGAUACCCUGGUAGUCCAUGCCGUAAACGAUGAGUGCUAGGUGUUGGAGGGUUUCCGCCCUUCAGUGCCGGAGCUAACGCAUUAAGCACUCCGCCUGGGGAGUACGACCGCAAGGUUGAAACUCAAAGGAAUUGACGGGGGCCCGCACAAGCGGUGGAGCAUGUGGUUUAAUUCGAAGCUACGCGAAGAACCUUACCAGGUCUUGACAUCUUGCGCCAACCCUAGAGAUAGGGCGUUUCCUUCGGGAACGCAAUGACAGGUGGUGCAUGGUCGUCGUCAGCUCGUGUCGUGAGAUGUUGGGUUAAGUCCCGCAACGAGCGCAACCCUUGUUACUAGUUGCCAGCAUUAAGUUGGGCACUCUAGUGAGACUGCCGGUGACAAACCGGAGGAAGGUGGGGACGACGUCAGAUCAUCAUGCCCCUUAUGACCUGGGCUACACACGUGCUACAAUGGACGGUACAACGAGUCGCGAACUCGCGAGGGCAAGCAAAUCUCUUAAAACCGUUCUCAGUUCGGACUGCAGGCUGCAACUCGCCUGCACGAAGUCGGAAUCGCUAGUAAUCGCGGAUCAGCAUGCCGCGGUGAAUACGUUCCCGGGCCUUGUACACACCGCCCGUCACACCAUGAGAGUUUGUAACACCCAAAGUCGGUGGG